GACGAACGCUGGCGGCGCGCUUAACACAUGCAAGUCGAGCGAGAACCCAGGCUUCGGCCUGGGGGAAAGCGGCGAACGGGUGAGUAACACGUGGGUAAUCUGCCCUCGGCAUCGGGAUAGCCCGGGGAAACCCGGAUUAAUACCGGAUGGCCCGACAGCUCUUCGGAGCGGUCGGAAAAGGUAGCUUCGGCCUCCGGCCGAGGAGGAGCCCGCGGCGGAUUAGCUUGUUGGUGAGGUAAUGGCUCACCAAGGCUCCGAUCCGUAGCUGGUCUGAGAGGACGAUCAGCCACACUGGGACUGAGACAUGGCCCAGACUCCUACGGGAGGCAGCAGUGGGGAAUCUUGCGCAAUGGGCGAAAGCCUGACGCAGCGACGCCGCGUGAGGGAAGAAGGCCUUCGGGUUGCAAACCUCUUUCAGGAGGGACGAAGCCACUCGGGUUAAUAGCCCAGAGGGUGACGGUACCUCCAGAAGAAGCCCCGGCUAACUACGUGCCAGCCGCCGCCGUAA
rnacentral:rRNA from 1 species